rnacentral:misc_RNA from 1 species
UUUCCGUAGGUGAACCUGCGUAAGGAUCAUUAUUGUAUAACCGAGAUGCGAGGGCUGUCGCUGACCCGAAAGGUCGUGCACGCCCGAGUGCCCUCACACACAUCCAUCUCACCCCUAUGUGCACCACCGCGUGGGUCCCCCUUUGGCUUGUUCGGAGGGGGGCUUACGUUUUCACACAAACUUUGUAUGCAGUGUAGAAUGUAUUUUUUGUUUUUGCGAUCACGCAAUCAAUACAACUUUCAACAACGGAUCUCUUGGCUCUC